rnacentral:rRNA from 1 species
ACAGGUCUUCGGAUGCUGACGAGUGGCGAACGGGUGCCUUUACAUCGGAACGUGCCCAGUAAUGGGGGAUAGCUCGGCGAAAGCCGGAUUAAUACCGCAUACGCCCUGAGGGGGAAAGUGGGGGACCGCAAGGCCUCACGUUAUUGGAGCGGCCGAUGGCUGAUUAGCUAGUUGGUAGGGUAAAGGCCUACCAAGGCGACGAUCAGUAGCUGGUCUGAGAGGACGAUCAGCCACACUGGGACUGAGACACGGCCCAGACUCCUACGGGAGGCAGCAGUGGGAAUUUUGGACAAUGGGGGAAACCCUGAUCCAGCAAUGCCGCGUGUGCGAAGAAGGCCUUCGGGUUGUAAAGCACUUUUGUCAGGGAAGAAAUCCUUUGGGCUAAUACCCUAGGGGGAUGACGGUACCUGAAGAAUAAGCACCGGCUAACUACGUGCCAGCAGCCGCGGUAAUACGUAGGGUGCAAGCGUUAAUCGGAAUUACUGGGCUUAAAGCGUGCGCAGGCGGUUGUGUAAAACAGGUGUGAAAUCCCCGGGCUUAACCUGGGAAUUGCAUUUGUGACUGCACAACUAGAGUGUGUCAGAGGGGGGUGGAAUCCACGUGUAGCAGUGAAAUGCGUAGAUAUGUGGAGGAACACCAAUGGCGAAGGCACCCCCCUGGGAUAACACUGACGCUCAUGCACGAAAGCGUGGGGAGCAAACAGGAUUAGAUACCCCGGUAGCCCCCCCCCUAAACGAUGUCAACUAGUUGGUGGGGAAUUUACUUCCUUGGUAACGUAGCUAACCCGUGAAGUU